UUGGUUACAAAAAGAUGAACGAACACGCAUCGUCGUUCGUUCGAAUGGGGGUCGCGUAGCGCGCAACUUACUUACUUGCUACUACUACGCGUCCCUCGAAGUGCAGCACGUUCAGCUCUACAUGAACAAGGCCUAAAGUUUUUCGUCCUUGCUAGUGAAGCGCUUGAGAACGUUCUUUUUACUUUCUUAACCU
rnacentral:rRNA from 1 species